AUGGCAAAUAUAAACCUUCCUGUUUCUUGCUUUUAUGCUUUAAUCAGAGGCAUUUUAGUCCUUCAAAGGCAACAGCUGAGCAGCUAUUUUCGGUGCCUUUGCAAGCAGGAAGUGACCCAUUUCAGUCCCAAAGGAAGUGGAGUCAGUGAGCUGCCUCAGCUAAUUUUGGCAAUCACGCCAAAACACCUAUACAAGAAAGGAAGAAAGAGAUGGAGGAAAGGGAGAAAAGGAAGAAGAAGGAUGGGAGUUUCUUCAUUUAUUUCAGAAUAUGAAAGUGCUUUCUCUUAUGGAUAAACACACAUGCCAAGACAUCUUGACAUUUGGUCAUCAUUAUUCUCUUCAUGUCAACCUACUUGAGGUGUUCAUCCUGCUAUUCUGGAAAUACUGGAAGAGUAUCCUCUAUAAGUAACCAGAGAAAGUCAAAGAACAGAGAACCCAGGCAUCUGUCUACGUUAAAAGGUGAUGCAGUCAAAUGAAUCCACAGAAUGAUCCAUUUAACUAGACAGUCUACGCCAUACAACCAUUGAAGUAAGUUGUUCUUCUGGGGACACACAAACAUGCUUGAAAUAUCCCCUAAAUACAACACUUCUUCCUGUUCCAGAGUUCUCCGCAAAGCCAUGAGAACCUUUGGUAUAUUUCAGUCUCCUUCAAAGCUCCACUCCUCUGGCCUCUUAACCAGAGUCAGAUACUCAGUUCACACUGGUGGGCUGCCUACUUCAUUCUAAACACUGUGCUGCAUAUGAGGCAUACCAAAUGAAAGGCAUUUUCAAGCUGAAAUUAAAUGUAAGCCUUGGAUAAGUAGACAAAAAGCAAAAGAAACAUUAGGUAGAAAGGGGCAGGGAUGGUGUAGUCAGGAUGUGGAGAAGACUGUCCAGGCUUAGAUUUGUCUGACUUUGCCAAUCUGUUGUGUUUUAAAUCACCAAACUAAAAUAUUUUAUAUUUCUUGUUCACCCUUUGUUGCAUUUUGGGGAUUAUAUAUAUAUGUAUAUAUAUAUUUCUCAAAAUAUCAGACAUUCUGAUUUGGGAAAUAUGGUACAGUGUUCACACAUCUGCGUUUUAAACAGAAUCUCCCAAAUAAUUCAGAUACACACUAAAAUUUGAGAAUCAGUUGUCUAAAGAAGUCACUUUAUGUCUGCAGUGCAUCUUUCUUAAGGAACAACAAUUAGCCCAGCCUCAAAAUACAAGGGGUUUAAGUAGAAGAAGAUAUGCUUGUCUCGAUGCAUAGUCAUUGGGGGUGUAAAUUCCCAGUGAGUUGCACUUGACAGCUGACCUCCUUCACAUUUUUAGUUAGGAUGAAGCACUUCAUGCAAAAACCAAGAAAUAGUCCCAGUCUUUUUGCUGUUCUAGCUGUUAACAGUCUGAAGCAUAUUCUGCCUCCUGGAAGUUAAAAUUUACAAGUAGAUCAGAAAAUGGGGAUGAGGAGUAAGGUGGGAAAUGAAAGCACUUUCAUAAAACAGCUCAAGAUUUUAAAUGUUAGAGGGUCAUUCACUCAGGUGCAGCAUUUUAUUUUUAUCUCCUCCUUGGAAUAUUUAGAUCUGACUGGUGUUCCUGACAGCUCCUCUCCCGGUGCCACUGUGGGCUGCCUUAAAAGGAAAAUGCUUAUGUAAAGAAGACAAGUGUGGGAAGGCAGGCAUCAGCUUAACAGACCAAGGAGCUCAGCAAUUCCACCCACCGCUUCUUCCCCAGAGCAAACUCCCAAGAGGUGCUCUUCUAGCAAGAUGUCUGGUACUUUACAAUGCUUCCCCAGCCCUUUCUGAGGCGAUGAUUUCCUCCUGAUAGCUUAAUUUUAUUAGAUCAUAGGAGCACAGUCUGUAAAUGUGAAAACACUUAAAGGGAAAGAGAAACUUUCAAAGCAGCUGUUUAAUGUUGGGUUUAAAAAAAACGGAAUCCGAGAGGGGAAAAAAAGAGAGAACUAAAUCUAAAACCUUACAAAAUAAAAGCUAUUUAAGCAGGCCA
rnacentral:lncRNA from 1 species